GAUGAACGCUGGCGGCGUGCCUAAUACAUGCAAGUCGAACGCUUCACUUCGGUGAAGAGUGGCGAACGGGUGAGUAAUACAUAAGUAACCUGGCAUCUACAGGGGGAUAACUGAUGGAAACGUCAGCUAAGACCGCAUAGGUGUAGAGAUCGCAUGAACUCUAUAUGAAAAGUGCUACGGGACUGGUAGAUGAUGGACUUAUGGCGCAUUAGCUGGUUGGUAGGGUAACGGCCUACCAAGGCGACGAUGCGUAGCCGACCUGAGAGGGUGACCGGCCACACUGGGACUGAGACACGGCCCAGACUCCUACGGGAGGCAGCAGUAGGGAAUUUUCGGCAAUGGGGGAAACCCUGACCGAGCAACGCCGCGUGAAGGAAGAAGUAAUUCGUUAUGUAAACUUCUGUCAUAGAGGAAGAACGGUGGAUAUAGGGAAUGAUAUCCAAGUGACGGUAC
rnacentral:rRNA from 1 species